GACGAACGCUGGCGGCGCGCCUAACACAUGCAAGUCGAACGAGAGAGGAAGAGCUUGCUUUUCCGAUCGAGUGGCGAACGGGUGAGUAACGCGUGAGGAACCUGCCUCAAAGAGGGGGACAACAGUUGGAAACGACUGCUAAUACCGCAUAAGCCCACGGCUCGGCAUCGAGCAGAGGGAAAAGGAGCAAUCCGCUUUGAGAUGGCCUCGCGUCCGAUUAGCUAGUUGGUGAGGUAACGGCCCACCAAGGCGACGAUCGGUAGCCGGACUGAGAGGUUGAACGGCCACAUUGGGACUGAGACACGGCCCAGACUCCUACGGGAGGCAGCAGUGGGGAAUAUUGCACAAUGGGGGAAACCCUGAUGCAGCGACGCCGCGUGGAGGAAGAAGGUCUUCGGAUUGUAAACUCCUGU
rnacentral:rRNA from 1 species